UUAUCAAAAUUCUAGAAGAAUCCAGGAUUUUCGAUAUUCAAACAACAUUUCUAUAUAAGAGAAUUACAACAUUUAUCCCAUAAAAAUUAGACUGCGUUUCUUUGUUCUUCCCUCUUUCAGUAGAUGUCAUUAUUUCUUGAGCUCAACUUCUUAAUAAUACUGAAAAAUCUUCAUUAUUCUAUCAUAUUUUGUUGAAAUUGUGAAUACAUUCUCUCUAUUGCUGAUGAACUGAAAGAUGAUCCAGUGUAUGGGAAGUCUCUUCUGUAUAUAUAUAUCCUUGAAAGAUGAAGAUGAUUUUGCAAUAGCAGAGAGUCUAUUUGUAUGAUUUGCAAUAUCCAGUUAAGCUUUAACCUAGCAAAUAGGUGUUCAAUGGUGGCUAUUUUCGAGUUUCUUUUAGAGUUGAAGCAGUUGGAUUGUUGUGUAAUGGUUAAAUUCACAAUUACGGGUUAAUAAAUCUAUUAAAGGAAGCUAGAUUUCU